GGGGGCGAAUCUGGCUUCGACGUGAGUUCUGACGCCACCGGUUGCAGGCCGAGGUUGCUGGCCCCCUCGUUAAACAGCUGGCAAAAAAAACAAAAGACAAUAGCGUAAGCUAUAACUUGGCUGCUUAAAUAAGUAGCCCGUCCCCAAUGUCCGCUCCUGCCGGGUGUUGAAGGACGCCAUCAUGCGGGAUGGUCCGUCGGUUGCGUCUCUGGAUUGACGGGCGAGAUUCACAGGGACUGGUCUUUCGGCCCCGGUCUUGAAGGUCACCGAAAGACGAGACACAAAUCAAGACUAAGCCUGUAGGAACCGUGGUUGAUGACUUUCGGACGCGGGUUCGAUUUCCCGCCGCCUCCACAU
rnacentral:tmRNA from 1 species